rnacentral:rRNA from 1 species
GUAGGUGGCAAGCGUUGUCCGGAAUUAUUGGGCGUAAAGCGCGCGCAGGUGGUUCUUUAAGUCUGAUGUGAAAGCCCCCGGCUCAACCGGGGAGGGUCAUUGGAAACUGGGGAACUUGGAGUGCAGGAGAGGAAAGUGGAAUUCCACGUGUAGCGGUGAAAUGCGUAGAUAUGUGGAGGAACACCAGUGGCGAAGGCGACUUUCUGGCCUGUAACUGACACUGAGGCGCGAAAGCGUGGGGAGCAAACAGGGAUUAGAUACCCUGGUAGUCCACGCCGUAAACGAUGAGUGCUAAGUGUUGGGGGGGUUUCCCGCCCCUCAGUGCUGCAGCUAACGCAUUAAGCACUCCGCCUGGGGAGUACGGUCGCAAGCUG